UCAUGCCAAGCUGAAUGCACUGGUUCUCGUCCGAUCACAGUAGUUAAGCAUCAUCGGGCGCGAUCAAUACUUCAGAGGUUUACCACCUGGAAACACCCAUGUGCCG